CUCCGGGAACGCUUUGCCUGUUUUUUGAGCAGCAUCUGAUGAUGAAAUGACAAGCCGGUUCCAGGGCAUCCUCAGAACAAGCAGCUUCCCAGCACCAAGGAAAAACUGUUCUGUCAACUGGCAGGCUGCUGGCACUGACAACUCCCUGCACCUGUUGUCAUAAGUGCUAAUGUCAAGAAAUUUCACCUUUUCACUUAAAGGAAGCACUUUGCGGUUUUUCUUUGUCGUAUCUGGAUUGCCAGCAUCACUACUCAUGUGGUUUGGGGCCAUUGUUAAGACUCAGCAACGAGCCUGGAAGAAGGAAAGUAAGCUCUGUUGGCUGGCCAUCCUGCCCCUUCAGCACCCCCCUCCCGCUGGACCGCCCAGGGUGCAGCCGGACAGCCCACAGCUACUCUGCGGCCAUCUGCAGACUGCCGGCCCCAAGGCCAUGCAGACAGCGGGAGUCCUUGGGGACACAUGCUUCAGGCGGACUCACACCACCAGGACACAUGCGACUUUCUCCUGGUCAGAUUGCUUCUUUGCAUCUGCCUCUGUGUAUUUUGGCUUGCAAAGCCUCUGUUUACAAAUCUGGGUCGAGGAAGGACAGGAAUUCCAACAACACGCGAUUCACAGAAGCCAGCCAGUGCCUCCUGUUCUCAUUUUUCCUUGUAAGGAGGAAGCGUGGAGAAAUGUCAAGUCACCGAUGGGACUCUGAAGCCACGCAGACCCAGCUGAUGUCCAGCUGUUAUCUUUAUUUACCAUCCUUGGGACUUUGGACAAAUCAUAUAACCUCUGUGAGCCUCAAAUUCUUCACUUUUUAAAGGAAGAUGAUACAAACUAGUUAUCAGAAUUAGAACCAAUAUG
rnacentral:lncRNA from 1 species